rnacentral:rRNA from 1 species
CAAGUCGACGGCAGCACGGGAGCUUGCUCCUGGUGGCGAGUGGCGGACGGGUGAGUAACACGUAGGAAUCUGCCUAGUAGUGGGGGAUAACUUGGGGAAACUCAAGCUAAUACCGCAUACGCUCUACGGAGGAAAGCGGGGGAUCUUUGGACCUCGCGCUAUUAUAUGAGCCUGCGUCCGAUUAGCUAGUUGGUGGGGUAAAGGCCCACCAAGGCGACGAUCGGUAGCUGGUCUGAGAGGACGAUCAGCCACACUGGAACUGAGACACGGUCCAGACUCCUACGGGAGGCAGCAGUGGGGAAUAUUGGACAAUGGGCGCAAGCCUGAUCCAGCAAUGCCGCGUGUGUGAAGAAGGCCUGCGGGUUGUAAAGCACUUUAAGCAGGGAAGAAUGGACGAAGGUUAAUACCCUUGGUCAGUGACGUUACCUGCAGAAUAAGCACCGGCUAACUCCGUGCCAGCAGCCGCGGUAAUACGGAGGGUGCGAGCGUUAAUCGGAAUUACUGGGCGUAAAGCGCGCGUAGGCGGUUGGCUAAGUUUGCUGUGAAAGCCCCGGGCUUAACCUGGGAACUGCAGUGAAUACUGGUCGGCUAGAGUAUGGUAGAGGGUAGUGGAAUUUCCGGUGUAGCAGUGAAAUGCGUAGAGAUCGGAAGGAACACCAGUGGCGAAGGCGGCUAUCUGGACCAAUACUGACGCUGAGGUGCGAAAGCGUGGGGAGCAAACAGGAUUAGAUACC